rnacentral:rRNA from 1 species
UACGAAGGGGGCUAGCGUUGCUCGGAAUCACUGGGCGUAAAGCGCACGUAGGCGGAUUGUUAAGUCAGGGGUGAAAUCCUGGAGCUCAACUCCAGAACUGCCUUUGAUACUGAAGAUCUUGAGUUCGGGAGAGGUGAGUGGAACUGCGAGUGUAGAGGUGAAAUUCGUAGAUAUUCGCAAGAACACCAGUGGCUGAAGGCGCUCACUGGCCCGAUACUGACGCUGAGGCACGAAAGCGUGGGGAGCAAACAGG